rnacentral:rRNA from 1 species
GCACGGGGGCAACCCUGGUGGCGAGUGGCGAACGGGUGAGUAAUACAUCGGAACGUGUCCUGUCGUGGGGGAUAACCAGUCGAAAGACUGGCUAAUACCGCAUGAGAUCGGAAGAUGAAAGCGGGGGACCGCAAGGCCUCGCGCGACAGGAGCGGCCGAUGCCGGAUUAGCCAGUUGGUGGGGUAAAAGCCCACCAAGGCGACGAUCCGUAGCUGGUUUGAGAGAACGACCAGCCACACUGGGACUGAGACACGGCCCAGACUCCUACGGGAGGCAGCAGUGGGGAAUUUUGGACAAUGGGCGCAAGCCUGAUCCAGCCAUGCCGCGUGUGUGAAGAAGGCCUUCGGGCUGUAAAGCACUUUCGGACGGAACGAAAUCGCGCGGGCGAAUAUCCCGCGUGGAUGACGGUACCGUAAGAAGAAGCACCGGCUAACUACGUGCCAGCAGCCGCGGUAAUA